rnacentral:rRNA from 1 species
AUGAACGCUGGCGGCGUGCCUAAUACAUGCAAGUCGAGCGAACAGACGAGGAGCUUGCUCCUCCGACGUUAGCGGCGGACGGGUGAGUAACACGUGGAUAACCUACCUAUAAGACUGGGAUAACUUCGGGAAACCGGAGCUAAUACCGGAUAAUAUAUUGAACCGCAUGGUUCAAUAGUGAAAGACGGUUUUGCUGUCACUUAUAGAUGGAUCCGCGCCGCAUUAGCUAGUUGGUAAGGUAACGGCUUACCAAGGCAACGAUGCGUAGCCGACCUGAGAGGGUGAUCGGCCACACUGGAACUGAGACACGGUCCAGACUCCUACGGGAGGCAGCAGUAGGGAAUCUUCCGCAAAGGGCGAAAGCCUGACGGAGCAACGCCGCGUGAGUGAUGAAGGUCUUCGGAUCGUAAAACUCUGUUAUUAGGGAAGAACAAAUGUGUAAGUAACUAUGCACGUCUUGACGGUACCUAAUCAGAAAGCCACGGCUAACUACGUG